rnacentral:rRNA from 1 species
UCACAUCCUGGGGCUGAAGUAGGUCCCAAGGGUAUGGCUGUUCGCCAUUUAAAGUGGUACGCGAGCUGGGUUUAGACGUCGUGAGACAGUUCGGUCCCUAUCUGCCGUGGGCGCUGGAGAAUUGAGGGGGGCUGCUCCUAGUACGAGAGGACCGGAGUGGACGCAUCACUGGUGUUCGGGUUGUCAUGCCAAUGGCACUGCCCGGUAGCUAAAUGCGGAAGAGAUAAGUGCUGAAAGCAUCUAAGCACGAAACUUGCCCCGAGAUGAGUUCUCCCUGAGACUUUAAGUCUCCUGAAG